rnacentral:rRNA from 1 species
GGGGAAUAUUGCACAAUGGGCGCAAGCCUGAUGCAGCGACGCCGCGUGCGGGAUGACGGCCUUCGGGUUGUAAACCGCUUUUGAUCGGGAGCAAGCCUUCGGGUGAGUGUACCUUUCGAAUAAGCACCGGCUAACUACGUGCCAGCAGCCGCGGUAAUACGUAGGGUGCAAGCGUUAUCCGGAAUUAUUGGGCGUAAAGGGCUCGUAGGCGGUUCGUCGCGUCCGGUGUGAAAGUCCAUCGCUUAACGGUGGAUCUGCGCCGGGUACGGGCGGGCUGGAGUGCGGUAGGGGAGACUGGAAUUCCCGGUGUAACGGUGGAAUGUGUAGAUAUCGGGAAGAACACCAAUGGCGAAGGCAGGUCUCUGGGCCGUUACUGACGCUGAGGAGCGAAAGCGUGGGGAGCGAACAGGAUUAGAUACCCUGGUAGUCCACGCCGUAAACGGUGGAUGCUGGAUGUGGGGCCCGUUCCACGGGUUCCGUGUCGGAGCUAACGCGUUAAGCAUCCCGCCUGGGGAGUACGGCCGCAAGGCUAAAACUCAAAGAAAUUGACGGGGGCCCGCACAAGCGGCGGAGCAUGCGGAUUAAUUCGAUGCAACGCGAAGAACCUUACCUGGGCUUGACAUGUUCCCGACAGCCGUAGAGAUAUGGCCUCCCUUCGGGGCGGGUUCACAGGUGGUGCAUGGUCGUCGUCAGCUCGUGUCGUGAGAUGUUGGGUUAAGUCCCGCAACGAGCGCAACCCUCGCCCUGUGUUGCCAGCACGUCAUGGUGGGAACUCACGGGGGACCGCCGGGGUCAACUCGGAAGAAGGUGGGGAUGACGUCAGAUCAUCAUGCCCCUUACGUCCAGGGCUUCACGCAUGCUACAAUGGCCGGUACAACGGGAUGCGACACGGCGACGUGGAGCGGAUCCCUAAAAACCGGUCUCAGUUCGGAUUGGAGUCUGCAACCCGACUCCAUGAAGGCGGAGUCGCUAGUAAUCGCGGAUCAGCAACGCCGCGGUGAAUGCGUUCCCG